rnacentral:rRNA from 1 species
GAUGAACGCUGGCGGCGUGCCUAAUACAUGCAAGUCGAGCGAACAGACGAGGAGCUUGCUCCUCUGACGUUAGCGGCGGACGGGUGAGUAACACGUGGAUAACCUACCUAUAAGACUGGGAUAACUUCGGGAAACCGGAGCUAAUACCGGAUAACAUGUUGAACCGCAUGGUUCAACAGUGAAAGACGGUCUUGCUGUCACUUAUAGAUGGAUCCGCGCCGCAUUAGCUAGUUGGUAAGGUAACGGCUUACCAAGGCAACGAUGCGUAGCCGACCUGAGAGGGGGAAUGGCCCACACUGAAACGAGGCCACGGCCAGACCCCUACGGGAGGCAGCAGGAGGGAAUCUUCCGCAAUGGGCGAAAGCCUGACGGAGCAACGCCGCGUGAGUGAAGAAGGUCUUCGGAUCGUAAAACUCUGUUAUUAGGGAAGAACAAAUGUGUAAGUAACUAUGCACAUCUUGACGGUACCUAAUCAGAAAGCCACGGCUAACUACGUG